AAAAACUAAAAAAACAAAACAAAACAAAAAAAAACAAAAGUUGUAUACUUCUGACUUGCUAUGUUUUUUGUUAUCUUCUUCAGUUGAUGCUUGAAAGGGUCGCAGGUGGAGAUGUCUAUUUGGCAUAGUAGUCGAAUCAUAUGCUUAGAUAUGAAAUCAAGUUUUCUUGGAAUACUCUUUUUUAUUUUAUUUAGAGUGUUGCUAAACGAACCCUAAAAUUAACUGAGUACAC
rnacentral:lncRNA from 1 species